UGGUCGAAACUGCAGCAAGAAGAAAGAGACCGUAUGUGGCCGUCUCGGAGGCAGUUGCUGGAGGCUUUGAUGCCGCUGCUGUUGAUGCUGCUGAUCGCUGCUGCGUCUGCUGCUACUGCUGCUGUUCGCUGAUGCUGCUGCUGAUCUUCACACCAGGUUAGGUCCGCCAGCAACUGACGUUAAACUCUGACCUACACCUAAGUCGUUCGCCAUUUUCACUCCCGCUCUCCCAAAAUGGGUUAGUGAACGCAAUCAAGGCCAUUUAACCCAGUUAACGAGCGAACCGGACUAAAUUUAAAUAUCUAGAUCCUCUCCCACUAUAAACAACGACUUCAACGGAAAAUGCAACACCACCCUAGAGACGCUAACAUAGAGUUUUAGACGAGCACAGGAAUACUUGGGGGCGUUUGGAUUUGGACGCAAUCGCCCCAACGCGGGGCCUACGCUUUACGGGAAGUAGAUACAUUCCGAUUCUGAGCUCGUGUACUUUGUUGUUCAUCUCUUCAGAUCACAACCUAAUAUUCUUGGCAUGGUACACUCCGAUCGGUCGUCCUUGAGGAUCCUCGAGCUCAUACGCAUUGUUGCCGACUGUCUUGACCACCCGAGCUUUCAGGAACUUCCGAGCAAACUUGGCAUUUAAGGAUUUUUUAAAAUCGCUGAUGCCAAAGUUGCGGCGAUACACUUCCUGACCUGGCUUCGCAAGGACAGAACGAGCCUUUUUGUCGUACCGCAGGCGACUCCGAUCGUAUGCAUUUUCGAGGCUCUUCUGCACCUUGUCAUGGAUCACUUGGAGUUUAUCAGCCCGGGAAAAGACCCGCCAUUUCGUUUUCACACAAUGACUUCAACUUUCUUGCCAAC